CCUUUGAUAGCUCAGUUGGCAGAGCGGCGAACCGUAGUUGUUGAUAGCUAGCAAUCAUCCCUAGGUCACUGGUUCGAAUCCGGUUCGAAGCA